rnacentral:rRNA from 1 species
GAAAUCGGAGGUAAUACCGAAUGUGAUCGUCCCCCGCAUGAGGGACUGUUCAAAGAUGGGGAUCUUCGGACCUGUCACUUCAGGAUGCGCCCGCGUCCCAUCAGCUUGUUGGUAGGGUAACGGCCUACCAAGGCAGAGACGGGUAGCUGGUCUGAGAGGAUGGUUAGCCACACUGGGACUGAGACACUGCCCAGACUCCUACGGGAGGCUGCAGUCGAGAAUCAUUCGCAAUGCACGAAAGUGUGACGAUGCGACGCCGCGUGGAGGAUGACGGCCUUCGGGUUGUAAACUCCUGUCAAGAGGGAAGAAUCCCCCGAUUCUGAAUAGGUUUUGGGGUUGACGGUACCUCUAGAGGAAGCCACGGCUAACUCUGUGCCAGCAGCCGCGGUAAUACAGAGGUGGCGAGCGUUGUUCGGAUUUACUGGGCGUAAAGGGUGCGUAGGUGGCAUCGCAUGUCGGAUGUGAAAGCUCACGGCUCAACCGUGGAACGGCAUCCGAAACUGCGGAGCUAGAGUACAGGAGAGGAGAGCGGAAUUCUCGGUGUAGCGGUGAAAUGCGUAGAUAUCGAGAGGAACACCGGUGGCGAAAGCGGCUCUC